UACGUAGGUGGCAAGCGUUGUCCGGAUUUAUUGGGUUUAAAGGGUGCGUAGGCGGUCUUUUAAGUCAGUGCUGAAAUACUCCAGCUUAACUGGAGGGGUGGCAUUGAUACUGGAAGACUUGAGUGCAGUCGAGGUAGGCGGAAUUGACGGUGUAGCGGUGAAAUGCUUAGAUAUCGUCAAGAACACCGAUAGUGAAGACAGCUUGCUAGGCUGCAACUGACGCUGAGGCACGAAAGUGUGGGGAUCAAACAGG
rnacentral:rRNA from 1 species